rnacentral:rRNA from 1 species
UACAGAGGGUGCGAGCGUUGUUCGGAAUUAUUGGGCGUAAAGCGCGCGUAGGCGGACCUGCAAGUCGGGUGUGAAAUCUCGGGGCUUAACUCCGAAACUGCAUUCGAUACUGCCGUGCUUGAGGACUGGAGAGGAGACUGGAAUUUACGGUGUAGCGGUGAAAUGCGUAGAUAUCGUAAGGAAGACCAGUGGCGAAGGCGGGUCUCUGGACAGUUCCUGGCGCUGAGGCACGAAGGCCAGGGGAGCAAACGGG